GUGCCUGUGGCCUAGUGGGUAAGGUUACAGUCUUAGGAACAUGGGGUUUCGGGUUCGAGCCCAGCUAGGGACA
rnacentral:tRNA from 1 species